AACGAACGCUGGCGGCAGGCCUAACACAUGCAAGUCGAACGCCCUAGCAAUAGGGAGUGGCAGACGGGUGAGUAACACGUGGGAACCCUCCCUAUAGUACGGAAUAUACCAGGGAAACUUGGAGCAAUACCGUAUACGCCCGAGAGGGGAAAGAUUUAUCGCUAUAGGAUGGGCCCGCGUAGGAUUAGCUAGUUGGUGAGGUAAUGGCUCACCAAGGCGACGACCCUUAGCUGGUUUGAGAGAACGACCAGCCACACUGGGACUGAGACACGGCCCAGACUCCUACGGGAGGCAGCAGUGGGGAAUAUUGGACAAUGGGCGCAAGCCUGAUCCAGCCAUGCCGCGUGAGUGAUGAAGGCCUUAGGGUUGUAAAGCUCUUUUGCCGGGGACGAUAAUGACGGUACCCGGAGAAUAAGUCCCGGCUAACUUCGUGCCAGCCGCCGCGGUAAG
rnacentral:rRNA from 1 species